GGCGGUUCGCGUUGCCUGCGAGGAGAGGAGAUUGAGUUGAGCCCGCGAGGGAAGCUGCUCACCGCCGCCCGGUGGUUAUAAGAGGCGCCUCUCCGUCCCCUUCCCCUCCUCUUCCUCUUCCCUCGCUUCUCAACCACUCCCUCUGCAUCGAUCUCAAUCUGAGGAGGCAGCAGAAGCAGCCUGACGAGAAACGAGAGAGGGCGGAUUGACGGAAGCAGGAGGGAAGCUGACGCGGCGGGGGCGAGACGGCGAGGAGGAAUGGACGGGCACGGCGGCGGCGGGGCGGGUAAUCUGACGCGGACGCCGUCGUCGCUGCUCCGGUCGCCGACCGUGCGGACCGCGUCCUUCCACGAGCUCAACGACCCGGAGCCCGACGACAAGAAGGAGCAGGCGCCGCUGGGCAAGACCCGGGCCCUGCUCCGCCAGGCCCACAACCGGUUCCGGCCCGGUCCGGUCCAGUCCGUGCUGCUCCUCGUCGUCCUCCUCCUCCCGCUCCUCGCGCUCGCCGUGCUCCUCCUGCGCCGGGGCGGCCACAACCUUGCCCUCCUGGCGGCCGCGGCAGGGGCCGCCCUCGCAACCGCGACCGCAGUCGCCCGGCUCCGCCGAGUCCGGCGCUCGCCCGCGUUCUCGGCCUCAGUGCAGUGGUUCAUCGGCGAGGGAGAGGGAGAGGAGCAGCGGAAGAAGGGGAAGGCCGAGGCGGACGGACACGCGGUGCGGGAGGGCGUGGAGUUCUACAGCAACGGGGACUACUACGAGGGGGAGUUCUACGGGGGCCGCUGUAGCGGCAGCGGCGUGUACAACUUCUUCGGGAAGGGCAAAUACGAGGGCGACUGGGUGGACGGCAAGUACGACGGCUACGGCGUCGAGAGCUGGGCGCGCGGCAGCCGCUAUCGCGGCCAGUACUGGCAGGGCCUCCGCCACGGUCACGGCGUCUACCGCUUCUACAGCGGCGACUGCUACGCUGGCGAGUGGGCCGGCGGCCAGAGCCACGGCAUCGGCUCCCAGACUUGCUCCGACGGCAGCUCGUACGCUGGCGAGUUCAACCGCGGCGUCAAGCACGGCCUCGGCUGCUACCAUUUCAGGAAUGGUGAUCGAUACGCAGGGGAGUACUUUGCAGACAAGAUCCACGGUUUCGGUGUGUACAGCUUUGCCAAUGGCCAUUGUUACGAGGGCUCUUGGCACGAAGGGAGGAAGCAGGGGUUUGGGAUGUACUCAUUUCGGAAUGGUGAUGUGCGAUCAGGGGAGUGGGAUUCCGGGACUCUGAAGAACACCUUGCCUCUGUCCGAUCCGGCUGUUCAGCGCGUCCUACAGGCUGCUCAAAGAGCUGCAGACAGAGCCUAUUGCCUCCCGAGAGUAGAUGAGCAGGUGAACAAGGCCGUCAUGGCUGCAAACCGAGCGGCCACGGCUGCCCGAGUGGCUGCGAUCAAGGCUGUGCAGAACAGAAUAGAUGGCAAGAUCUGUCUCAUCGAUGUGUGAAGUGUGUUCAAGAAUUGUGGCCUACACUUGUAAACUGUACAUUAGAGUAGUGAAGAAUGGCAAUAACUGAUUGCCAAGGUUCGCGACCGGAGCAGCACAACCGCUUGCCCCGUGUUGGAGAGGUCAGUAUGGCCGGCAGCCACCAAAGGGUUGAGCUGCUGGUGUUUUCCCGAAGAGGCUCGGAUUGUGCUAGACUGCAACUGGAGAGCUGGUGGUUAUCUUCUUCCUCCUUGCAAUCUGUAAGUUGUAGAUGGUUCCAUGUGUAUCAAUGGAGGAGGUGAUCUGUCAAUGGCUUUGUCUUCUGCUGCGCCUAUAAGGUUUGGAAUGGAUGUUUCUGCAUUUCCCCCGUCUCAAUGCCUGCCCAUGUUAAACUUCUCUCUCUGAAACGAAGUUAAGCUUCUCUUCUGCAGUCUACGAAACGACAUGCGCACCGAGAUGCUGCCGACUGUCGGAUUCCAUCGCCAUACAUGCUGCAUGAAAAGAACCACUCGAGGCGUCCAAGUUUCACCAAAGUGGCCUUCACCCUACACAGUAGCCACAAUGAUUGUUUGCAGCACAUGAGCCACUCCAUACCAAAUUGAGCAUGACGUGCAUCACUUCGGCCGGCUAAUCUAUUUGGAAAAGUUUCUUCUACAUGCAACGAAAUUGCCACAGCCGUUCAGGGAAGAAAAUCUAUUUGGAAAAGUUUUGUACUUUGACGUAUCCAGCCAGCAUGAUGAUAUUCCAAUCCACGAUGCUCAAGGUCCCAUCACGGUGACAUGGCGGAACGAGAUAAAGCAAGCUCUGGGAGGGCGACAUGUCAAUGGGGAUAAGAACAGGGAGAACGCUGGUCCAUCUGGUAUGCGGCUUUCGUUGGUACGUCGCUUCCCUGCACCCUACGCGGUGCAUUUCAUAUUGCUUGUUACGUUCUCUUGGACGAGAAGCUACUGCUGCUGUAGGCUUGCUCUUUCUUUCGGCAUGCAUUAUUCAAAGCUGUCGCUGUUGGCCGAGGCUGGGCUGUGGACAUGGUGUAAGGAGCCAUGCAUCUGCUUAAUGUAGAGCAGGCACGUUAGGAUAGCAACCGGUAGUUGUUAGUAAAAUUAAGGAGUCAUGUACCUAUUAUG